rnacentral:misc_RNA from 1 species
AUGCAUGCCGCGCCGCACAGCUAGCUAGCUGCGGAUGGUGCUCCAUAUACCAUGGAGGCUACCUCCAUGCACAUAUACAUACUAGCUUUGUUACAGUUAAGGACUGCAAACGUGAAGGAUGUCUGAAUUAGAGGAGGUAACGCAACGGUUUUUGCAUCAUCAGUCAGCAGCUGAGAAGUUUGAGACCUCAGAGACACCUCAACGCGUCCUCGACGAGGUCAGCUUGGAGGGUGUGGCCAGAUACAUCAAGAGUGGCAACUGCAAAAAUAUAAUUUUCAUGACAGGAGCAGGGAUCUCUACGUCUGCAGGACUUCCAGAUUUCAGGACUGAAACCACCGGCCUGUACGACCAACUUCAGGAAUAUGAGCUUCCCAAUCCUCAGCGCAUGUUUGAGAUCAGAUACUUCAAGGAAAGGCCGGAGCCAUUCUUUAAACUUGUGAAGUCGCUGUACCCUGGAGCUUUCAAGCCUACACCGUCUCAUUACUUCAUCCGCCUAAUGUGUGAAAAGAACAUUGUUCGGCGGAAUUACACGCAGAAUAUUGAUACUUUGGAUAAGAUAGCUGGAAUUGAAGAGGAGUUAAUAGUGGAAGCCCAUGGAGGGUUCAGCACAGCUCACUGCAUUGGGGAGAGUUGUUUGACAGAAUAUCCUGCUCUGUGGGUAAAAGAUGAAAUUUUUGCAGACAGAAUCCCAAAGUGUAAUCAGUGUGGAGCUGUUGUCAAGCCAGAUUGUGCAUUUUUUGGCGAGGAUAUGCCCAGAAGGUUUGAGCAUCUAGUUGUAGAGGACUUCAGCAAGUGUGACCUUCUGAUUGUUGCUGGAACCACACUGGUAGUGCAACCAUUUGCAUCAAUGAUACAUAAGGUACCAGCUUCAACACCGAGGCUUUUGGUCAAUUAUGAAUUAAGUGGCAAGGUAAAAUCUCAUACUUGACAAUCAUCAUGAUUGUUCAGCUAACUUCCUGAAUCUUUCAAAGUCCUCCAUAGUGCAGAAAAAGAAACAUUCUUUUUACUUCAUCUUUCCAGGGCAUCAAUUUUAUAUUAUAAUAAUGUAAAUUGGUCAACCCUGCUUAUUGGUGAUGUUAAUUGUUGGUUAUUGGUGAGGUCUGUUGUUUGGUUUUUGGCAAGUUAAUUGGUGAGGUUAAUUGUUGGUUAUUGGCGAGGUUUAUUGUUUGGUUACUGGUGAAGUUAAUUGUUGGUUAUUGGUGAGGUCUGUUGUUUGGUUAUUGGCGAGUUAAUUGGUGAGGUUAAUUGUUGGUUAUUGAUGAGGUUAAUUGUUGGUUAUUGAUGAGGUUAAUUGUUGGUUAUUGGCGAGGUUAAUUGUUGGUUAUUGGCGAGGUUAAUUGUUGGUUAUUGGUGAGGUUUAUUGUUUGGUUACUGGUGAAGUUAAUUGUUGGUUAUUGGCGAGGUUGAUUGUUGGUUAUUGGCGAGGUUGAUUGCUGGUUAUUGGCGAGGUUGAUUGCUGGUUAUUGGUGAAGUUUAUUGUUGGUUAUUGGAGAGGUUAAUAGGUGAGGUUUAUUGUUUGGUUAUUGGUGACCUUAAAUGUUGGUUAUUGGCGAGGUUUAUUGUUGGUUAUUAGUGAGGUUUAUUGUUUGCUUUGCCAGAUAAACAAAUCCAAACAAUUUUGAUUGUUUGACUAUAUAUUGGCUUACUGUAUUUUUCAUCUGCAUUUUCUUUUAUUUUAUCAUUUUCUGUGUAAAAUUUAAUUUAUGCUUUUAUCUAAUUUUUUUUUAUAUGAUAAUGUUUGCAGGGCCCCAUGACAGACCACCUUCGGGUGAAUGGGUAACCCUGGGUGAAGAUCAGAAAAAAAUAGGAUAAGAGCCAGGUACCGGUCAUAUGUGGCUGAAACAAAACUGUCGUGCAAGUGGGGAGGAAAUACAUGUACUUGCUAGGAACAUGUGCAGCCUUUAGACAGGUUAUGCUAUGGAAGUAGCUCUUACUGUGACUUUUUUCUGGUGUGUUGGUUGUUCCAGGCUGACCCCCUGAUGAAAUUCAUGGGCAGGGGUGUUGGUUUCAACUUUGGUUACACUGAUAAUUACAGGUAAUAUACCCAAAAUGAACAGUAUCUUUUUAAGUGUUUUUGAGGCGUGUGCCUUGUAUACCUAUUAACAUUUUAAUGAAACGUACCCAGAGAGUAGUUGUAAUUAUUCUUGUAUUUCCUCAGAAAUAAAGGUACUUUGUCACCACAAAUGUUAGUGAGAAAAUUGUAACAAUGUCUAAUUGCUAACAAGAUGGAUGUAUUCUAUAUUUACAUGAAGGGAUGUAUUUUACUGGGGGUCUUGUGAUGAAGGGUUCUACAGACUAGCUGAACUUCUUGGAUUGAAGGUAAAGCAGUUGUCCUCUAAGAGAUAC